AGCGAACGCUGGCGGCAGGCCUAACACAUGCAAGUCGAACGGGCUCUUCGGAGCUAGUGGCGGACGGGGGAGUAACACGUGGGAACGUGCCUUUAGGUUCGGAAUAAGCCCGGGAAACUGGGUCUAAUACCGAAUGUGCCCUUCGGGGGAAAGAUUUAUCGCCUUUAGAGCGGCCCGCGUCUGAUUAGCUUGUUGGUGAGGUAAUGGCUCACCAAGGCGACGAUCAGUAGCUGGUCUGAGAGGAUGACCAGCCACAUUGGGACUGAGACACGGCCCAAGCUCCUACGGGAGGCAGCAGUGGGGAAUCUUGCGCAAUGGGCGAAAGCCUGACGCAGCCAUGCCGCGUGGAUGAUGAAGGUCUUAGGAUUGUAAAAUCCUUUCACCGGUGAAGAUAAUGACUGUAGCCGGAGAAGAAGCCCCGGCUAACUUCGUGCCAGCCGCCGCCGUAACAC
rnacentral:rRNA from 1 species